GGACUGUAGCAUUUAUCCAGCAGAUGGCAGUGACUGCAUUCUGGUCUGGAUUACUGAACCCACUGUGUUUAUUUUUUCAUCUCAACCUCAGUGGUUUUAGUGUGAUGUUUUACACAAACGCUUCUCUUAAGAGGUGUUUAAAAAAAAAUAAAAAAUAAAAAAUAAAAAAAAAUAAAAAAACACUCGAGUAGUCCGAGCUUUAAUUGAUCCGACAUUUUAUGAACUCGGAUGAUGUAAAUCAGCAGCAGGAAUCAACAUGCCACUGCCUUCGACUUAAUGAAGUCUUAAAAGUUUAAACUUUUAAAAGAUGUAAGCGUACUUUUGUUUGUUUGUUUUGAGAAGUCUUCAACUACAGAACAAGCCAAACUGCUGAAAUACACGGACAGAUAGAGAGGAACACAGGAGUUUACUGGACCAAUUAAGAAUCAGCACUGAUGGCUACAGCGAAUGCAAGGAAACUAGGUGGG
ensembl:lncRNA